rnacentral:rRNA from 1 species
UUGGAGGGCAAGUCUGGUGCCAGCAGCCGCGGUAAUUCCAGCUCCAAUAGCGUAUAUUAAAGUUGUUGCAGUUAAAAAGCUCGUAGUUGAAUUUCGAGAUCAAAUUGUUGGUCGUGCCUCGGUACGUACUGGCAUUAUUGAUUUCUCCCUUCUGAAGAAUCGCGAUGUCAUUAAUUUGGUGUCGCGGGAAAUCAGGACUGUUACUUUGAAAAAAUUAGAGUGUUUAAAGCAGGCUCGCGCUUGAAUACAUUAGCAUGGAAUAAUGAAAUAGGACGUUUGAUUCUAUUUUGUUGGUUUCUAGGAUCGACGUAAUGAUUAAUAGGGAUAGUUGGGGGCAUUAGUAUUCAAUUGUCAGAGGUGGAAUUCUUGGAUUUAUUGAAGACUAACUACUGCGAAAGCAUUUGCCAAGGAUGUUUUCAUUAAUCAAGAACGAAAGUUAGGGGAUCGAAGACGAUCAGAUACCGUCGUAGUCUUAACCAUAAACUAUGCCGACUAGGGAUCGGAUGAUGUUAAUUUUUUAAUGACUCAUUCGGCGCCUUACGGGAAACCAAAGUGUUUGGGUUC